GCCAAAGGCCUCCAUUUCCUGUCUUGUUCCUUGGGAUUGGCAAAGAAAAGCAGGGGGGAAUUAGGCUUCUUUCUCUCGCAGCUCAUCUGAUAUCCCAUAGCUUACACGACUCUUUAAGUCCGUCAGAUUACGGGGAGUGGGAAUGGGAAGAGCCUGCACUGCACAGUUUUCAGUGCACAUGAUCGCUGCCAACUGUGCUUUUGAAACUGAUCAUUUUCAUAAACGCCUCCUUUUACUGCCAGCUGCACCUUGACCCAGAAGAGCACAACUCGCACAACAACUGAUCCAGAACCUGCCCGAAUCUGGCACAGAGCCGGCCCAGACUCGACUCCUGUCUGUGCUGGGUUUUGUUUUGUUUUGCAGAGGUGAAAAUGUAAAAGUGGUUUGUUUUUCUUCUGCUGCCUCACUGCGAAAGCCUGCAUUGAAACGGGGGCCUGCGAGAUAAUGACAUGUUAAUGCAUGUGUGUCUCCAUGAAGGUUUGUUUGCCUAUUGAUAUUUUCUCCCGUUGGGCACGAAGGCGUCCAUCUGUGUUUGUGCUCUCCUCCCUACUUCAUGCAGCAGGGUGGAGGUGGGGUGGCGUGGCGGAGGUGGAUGAGGGGGCAGUUCAUGUGAAGCGCCUGACAAAUUGUUUAUCUUCCUGAGACAGGAAACGCUGAGUCACUUUGGCCACCUUCUCUCUCUCUCUCUCUCUCUCUCUGACAUAGGCACACACACGCUCCCUCUCUCGCCUCAUUUUUCUCUCUCUCCCUCUCAUCCAGCUGCCCCAUCCAUCCAUCUAGUCCUCGCUCCCUCCCUCCCACUGCCUGAACCCAGCUUUGGAGGUCACAUAAACAGGAAAGUGUGUUUUUCUCUGCCUCGUCGCUCCUCGUCGCUCCCCUUCACUCCUCAUUUCCCGUCUCCUCACGUGAUGUAAGCCCCCACCACUCCUCCUCCAGGAACCGUCCCCAAGAUGUUUAUAAGCUCAGUAAUAUGUGUGCCUGUUGGUGUGAGACAUGGGUGGGGGGAGGGGGCUGGGCACAUUAAGCAAGUACACCCUGUGGAAAAAUAACCCUGGGUAUGAGUUCACAGCCCCUUGUAAAUCUCUGGGGUUUGUUUGGUGCCAAGGGCCAGGUUACACAACAGCAGCCACGUCUGAACAGCAGCCGAGGAGGGGAGGUGGUGGUGUUUUUUUUUUGUGUGUGUUUUUGUUUGGUUCCUGCUUUGUUUUGACUCCAACAUGUCCACAUGUCUGUGGGCCAGGAGAGGGAGAGCGGAGGAGGAGCUCGCUGGGCAGUGGGCAGUGUUUAUAGCCCUCACUCCCAAAGCCCUCAGUCCUCGCAUGCAAACAGCACGUGGUUCCAGCUCCUCUCAAAACAGAAAAGAAAAGAAAGAAAAAACACCUGGAUCUUUUUAUGUGGACACUCACCACGACCUGACAGUUGGUAAAGAUACGGUACUUUUUUUCUCUCUCUCUCUAUACUCUCUUUCCUCUGUUUUGCACAGUGUUCAGUUGGUUGUGUUUUUAUUUUCAUUUUGGUGUCUGUUUUUCUACUUGUGCCUGCCGUAGAUUGGGUUGUGGUGACUGCAUUGCUCUUGAUUGAGUUUUAUGUUUCUUGUUUCUGUUUCUUGCGAAUCUGAACUUGAGAUCUGCAUAGGAACAUGGCUUUAGGCUGUUUAUACUGGAUGAAGAGCUCACAGGUGCUUUGAAUUGGCAGAAGUUGGUGAACUUGAACUUGUGUCCAGUCUGAAGCUCUUAUACAUCACUCACUCAAGAGAGUGUUUAUCAAUCUUUUGCACCAGGGAAGGAAGUGUGGCACAUACUUUACAGAUCUGGGGUCUGCUUCUAAAGCACUCUAGCUACUGUGUCCCAUCACAUACUUUACAGAUUUGGGGUCUGCUUCUAAAGCACUCUAGCUACUGUGUCCCAUCACAUACUUUACAGAUCUGGGGUCUGCUUCUAAAGCACUCUAGCUACUGUGUCCCAUCACAUACUUUACAGAUCUGGGGUCUGCUUCUAAAGCACUCUAGCUACUGUGUCCCAUCACAUACUUUACAGAUCUGGGGUCUGCUUCUAAAGCACUAGCUACUGUGUCCCAUCUGGCCCCAUUGUUUGCAUGGCCUGGAGACACAGUGGAUGAUUGCAAACAGAAACCUCAAUGUGUUGCAACAGCAAAAUGUGCAAGACAGACGUUCGAGCACUGGUGCUUUUGGAUGAGGACACAGAGGAGGAGGAGGAGGAGGUGGUGGAGGUGUCCGAAGUGAAUCUCCUCACAUUAACCUCAGACUCUUCAGGACAACAGCUUUCUUACUACUGACUACAGAAACCCAAAGCCACUGCUGAUAAAAAGUCUCUCGGCACUCUUUCCAGCCAGACACAUAAAGCCCUGGAGAUCUGAUGGGACUGCGAGGACAUACCCCAAAUGUAUCCUGGCAAAAUGGAACCUCAUGGUGUCCUGCUGAUCAAGCAACACAGUGCAGAGUAAACCUGUGUAAGAGCCCUCCUUCCCCAGCUCUUGGCCCUGAACAGUAAGAGUUUACAUGCUGUGGAGGCUGUUCAGCAGCAUGUACUCCCUUACAGUGCAAGGACUGGAGCCCCUCUCCCAAGAGACUCGGGUCACAGCAGACCUGAGAGUUGGACACGACAGCCGGAGACAGAGUUUGUGCUUACUUUUUUUAUUAGUUGUGCUGAAGUUUUACAUUGAAGGUAUGAAUCACAUCAUAUGUGUCUCAUCAAUGAGGUUGUUUUUGUUUUGUUUUUGUUUUAUUAAAAAAACAAACAAACAUUUCUUUCAUCUCUUUAUUUAAUUGUAUCUUAUGUCUAACUGGACCACGACACACCUGAGUGGACAGUACCCUGUGAAGUGUGGUCGAACACGCUGACAGAUUGACCUUUUUCUCUUAUGCAGAGGAUUUGGCCCUGUUGGACAACCUGUGGUGCUUCACUGAGUCCCUCUUCUCUUCCUGACCCUUUCUCACUGUUCUGCUGUGAAGAUCAGCAGCUAAGCUCUGAUGUCCAACAGAAUGUGUGUUUUGCACACUGGUCCUCAGAAUGGAAUGAAACUGUGGAAUAACACAGCCCUCUGUGGGAGUUGUCUGUCCUGUAAGAAAUGGACAGCUGACCCAUUAACCUAUCAGUGAGUCUCUAUCUGGUAAGUCAACAUGUAAAAUGAGUUAUGAGUGGAUGAACCCAUCACAGGCUCUGUGUGCCUCUGGUCAUCUGUGGCAGCAUUUUCAAUGUGAUUCUGAAGGCUCUGCUGUGCGCUGCCACAGAGCAUAGAAGAGCCUUUCUCUUUAUUACCUAUCAUAUUUACCAACUUGUUUCUUGUAGCUUUAAAAAGCAGAUUAAUUAAAUGGCUACAGCACCAUAGCGGCACCUGAGUUCUAACCAAGAGCAACCAGUAAAGCAGGCUAUUAACAAUUUCCUUCUCAUUGUGUGCAUGUUACUUCAAGAAUGACACACCUGUACUGUUGCAUUUAGAACUUUCACUACAUAUAACAUACAGAGUUUCGAACAAAGCAGAAAAAAAGAACAAUGCCAGCAAAAUUUUGAAUCCAAAUUUCGUUGUAUGCAAAUAAAAUGACAAUAAAGGCUUAUAUAUUCUAUUUUCUAAAACUAAUAUAGAAUAGCUCCAUCACUGUGAUGUCUGCCCCUUAGCGACCAUGGCUGUAGACUGUUACCAAUGGUGUCGUUGCUACAGUAACAAUCUAAAGCCACGGUAGCCAUGGCGACAGCAGCAGGGGGAAAAAAUGGGGGUUCGCCGUGGAAACUGUGGAAGAGGCGAUCUGAUUGGCUGAGCCGUCGUUGAGCUUGCAUGUACGCCAAUGCAGUGGUUUCCUGGAGAGUCAUCGCUGUUCCUUCUCAGUUGUUUGCUUCUUUUAUCUGACCCUCAAAGCACCGGAGAUGCGAGCGAGCGCACGUGGACACAACUGCUCCGCAGGCCUUCCCACGCUGCGUUCUGGGCUUGUAGAGGCUUGACAGACAUCAGUAGCCAUGACUGUAGACUGUUACUGUACUUUCACCGAGUCAUACCAGUAAGCAGUCUAGAGCCAAGGUGUUGAUGCACUGUCCUUAAAGAUGUAAGUAGUGCUCUCAUAGCAAUCUCUCUCAUCAGUGCAUUUACCUAAAAAGACUUUAAGAAUUAUUACAUUAUGUUGGUCGGUGAUAUGGCUAGAUAGGUAGCGGGUGACUUAGCCUACGUAGCCUAUCAUCAACCCAGGAUAUAUUUUUACAGCAAAUCAUUCACACAAAGUCAAGACUGCUGUGACUGCAGUUAAGUAACAGAUACACUCAAAUGCACAACGGUCAGUCAAAUUACGGUGGUCAGAGUCAGAGACCAACGUAGUGACCCAGUUCUGGUGCCAGGUAUUGAUUGCGGUGCAGCUUAUCUGUGACUGACUCCGUAACAGGAUAUUGAGUGCCAGUGAUAUCUUAUGCAAGAUGAAUUGAGUAACACACUUUGACGUCAAAGCUUCCGAAUUGUAUGUAUAAUGACACCAUAAACCUAUUUCCAUUAAGACUCGACGGCUACAAGAGCCUGUUGAUUCUAAACGCCGGAACAGCAGUACGUGAACGUAUACUACUACGACCGGAAGAGUGUGUGUACAGUAGCAGCUUCUCAAACAGUUCAUGCGUUUUAUUAAUAAUUUAAAAAACGUCUCGCAAUCUUAAUUUUCUAAUGGGGGUUCGUUCGCUGUCCAUGGUGCUAACUACCGUAAGUACUGUGCUAAGCGCAAUCCGUCUUUUUAUGCAAAGGAUUGAAAAUCAGAAAAUCAGGUUUCCAACUCGUGAAUGAAACCUCUAUCUUAAGCCUGCGUCUUAAACUGCAUUUUUAGCAGCUGAAGAGCAGGCAGUGUGUAAACAUGCUUCCAAGGCCAAGCCAUUUCCCUUGGUUAAAGUGACAGUGAUGAGAGUGAACUUUCAGCACCUUGGACAGAUGCAGACUUGUCCAACAUUACAUCGACACUGAUCUUUUUAUGCUCUAUGUAAUAGCAAUGUUGGGCAGUUAGUGUAAGCGACGAAUAACUUAUACCUUGAAAAUUCAAAGAAUUCAAAGUUUAGAUAUCCGAUUAGCAUUGAAGAGCAUCGCAGAAAAUACUCUAAUUCGAAUGCAACCCCUCAGAGGUGUCAGAUAGAAGACAUCUGCGAGCACAAGAGCAACUGCAAGAGACAUCAGGGCUGAUGCGGGGUGGUUGGAGAAAACAAUGAACACCCGGAGCAUGUGCAUUAGUAUUCUGCGCACCACACUCGGAGAUGCCCAGGGGAUAUUGGAAUGUUCCCCACGCACAGCCCACCCCCACAUCCCAGCCCACUGCCAGCGAGAUCGCAAUGCGGGUGAUGGACAGUUGCGCUGCCUAGGUGCGCUGCCUCUUUAAAGGGUCCCGCCGGGCGAUUGGAAAUCGUCGACAUGUGCGCAGUAGUGACGCAGGAUUGACUUCAUCUCCAAGUACGUCACAACAUUGAAAUUUCAAAGGCAAAGGAGAAAGGGGCGCUGGGAAUGAAGUGAUUUGAUUAUUCCGAACGCCAUAGGAUGUUGGUGUUCAGACCUGCCAGUCAAAUGCGCCCAAAUAUUUCAAUUGCAAGACAUUUUUUUUAAAUGUGUCGAUUUUGGUGAUUCUGUCCACGAAGUAAAUAGAAGUCUACUCGUUUCCGUUAUACAAUUUAAACACGGAGACUACAUGUUAAUACUAAACUGCAAAAACUGACAAGUAUGUGAGAACUAAAGACACGAUUUAUCACAGGCUUCAAUUUGACAAAAACUUAACUGCCCUGUUUAAGUUAAGCUAUCAUAACAGUUUCACGUUGUUUUUCUCGAUAAUAUUAUGUUGUAGCCAAGUAAUAAGGAAAGUAUUAAUUGAAAUGUAAUUGUUCGAGAUUAAUCCUCAUCUAAUCACAAGUAAUUACUCGUCGGAAUGGCACCGAGUAAAGCAAAAAAAAAAAAUACAUCUGGCUGGGAUUUGUUUUAUUAAUAACCCAGACUGCCUGUCAUCUACAGCAAGAAUCUACACUAAAUGUGCACCCUGACCCAUUUUCGACGAACCAAAAUGACUUAGAUAUUUCUGAGGUAAAUAAUUAUCCUCAGACACACACCCGUGUGGCAUGUAACAUGCAAAGCCCACCGACUCAAAUCUGGAUCUGGCGUUCUCAGUCCUGUCGGUACCCAUGUGCGCUAAAGUGAGUCACACUGCAGCAACUUUCAGCCCCCUUAUCAGCCACCGUACAUUCACUAAAAGGCCCGCAUAUGGAAUUAAAGUCGUGACAUUAUUACCAUAAUCAAACAACUUUUUAAAUCAUCAUAGUUCGUCGAUUCAUGACGAUGUUUAUCCAAUCCUAACGCUGCUGUGAUGGCAUUCUUUGGCGAGGAAUAACAGACAUACAGGUAAGGUAAAAGGCAUGGUAUUUCAAAGUUGAAGCCAAUAUAAAGAGAAACGUACCUGAUUUAAAGCAAUGUCCAGUUCAACACCUCUUGUCAUUAUUUGUCACCAGUCGCAAGACUCGUCAGUAAAUAUUGAAGUUAAGCCUGACUCCUACAUCAUGCUAGAAAUAUUUAUGAGAAAGAGGCUAACCAAGUAGCCUACUAAUCGUCUACUAUCUAGGCUACUGCUAUCAGAAUUGUCCCUUCUGUUUUAUCCUCUGACACCCUUCGUAUCAUAUACACUAGUGAAAUUUAGCGGGCUCUCCCAUCGUUGGCUUUUUAUAGACAUGCCCGUAGUAGUAAUGGGUGAGGGAGGGGGGACUCAUUCAUUGAAAAACAUCACCUACAUUGGGCUUGUACGUGGACGUCUACGUCACUACGGCACUACGUCACUGAGGAAAUGCAACGGGAGGACGCCAGGGUUCCGUGUGGAGCCAGAGAGCAUAACAAAAUGCGUAAAGAAGCUCACGACUCAAGCGCAAUAAUGCCCAAGGAUGAUUUACUGAGUGAUGUGUUGAGUAUUCCUUUUGAUAAAUCAUUUAUAUAUAAAUCAUUGGAGGGAAUUCAGUAUACAGUACGCAAUAUCGAUCUUAAAGACAAUGCGCGUAAUGGCGAAAUGUGCGUGAUAUGUACAGAUGCCAAUAUUUUCAAGGAAUUUUCACAUUGCUGUGGGCCACAUUUGUGUUCAGUUUGCAGUAGGUCCACUAAUUAGUACGCUGGAAAUGUUUAAGACAUAACAUGAGGGUUUACUUAAUUGUUUGGUAAUUCAAUUCGACAUUAUUUUUGUCUACAUCAUACAUAUUUUAAACAUCCGCCGAUUAAAAAGAUAGCCCAUAUGUAUUCAUUCAUCCACUGAUGUGUAAUCAAAUCAGAUGUUGAAUCAUAUCAGAAAACAGAAUAUUGUUGAAACAUAUUGUCGGAAAAUAGUGACAGACAUCAAUAUCGCAUAAUUGGUGCUCACAAUAGUUAUUACACCGCUCUGUAUCCAGACAAUCGCACUCGCGAUGAAUCACGGCUGCGAGAGCCGAUUGCCUUUCAGCCCUUGUUCGCAAUGCCAG
ensembl:lncRNA